GACGCCUGCCACAACAUGGUUUGACAAGUGGUGCCAUGUCCACACCUGGCAUCCAAACUGGUGAACCCUGGGCCAUCAAAGCGGAACGUGCAAACUUAACUGCUGUGCCACUGGGCCAGUCCUCAUUGUUCUCACUUCUUGGAUGCCAACAGCUUCUCUGGGAGAUGUCUGCACCCAACAUAGCCAGAUCCUGGGUCCAGCCCCAACGUCAGCCCAGAUGGGACAGUUCCAGGCACUGCAGUAGGCACUGAGAGCACAGAUGUGAAGAAAACAGAUGGAGAUCAUUGCCCUGUGCUGCUGGCGUUCUUGUGAGGGGGACAUGCUGGUGGCUUCAACCCCCGCUCCGUUUCUCUGCCAGGGUCUCUCUCCUCCCCGGCAGCCUGGACUCCCUCGCCCCAAGAGCUGCUCUUCAUUCGCAGGUGAUGGUCUGUGUAAACCCUCCUCUUGCCGUCAGACUUUGGACCCCGUCCUUGCACAACAACAACCUGGCUAAAGGGAGAUUUGCCUCCUUCUCGGACUGGUUUUCAUGAUAAGAUCCACCCUAUUAGCUGGAAACUUCUCUGCUGAGCCAUCUGCUCUCACGUCAGCCCCAUUAGGAUAGGGAUUUUUGCUGUUUUCUUUAAUUGCACAUUGAGGGCCGUUAGGAAGUAUAUAUAUAUAUGUCUAUUUUAGGAAAUAUAUUUUUGAAUGAAUAGCAUCCUCCCUUAAAUUUCUUCUUUGAUCACAGGGUGGGGAGGAGAGAGAAACUAUAAAUGCAUCAUAGCCCCUUAGUUCUCUCGGGAAAAUGCGUGUUCACUCCCAGAAGCGUGCUAGAAGCUAAGUGAGGCACGUUGGAGCGCAUCCUGUGACGCGCUGCUGGCAUGAAGGACGCCGUGGAGAGACAACAGCGAGGUUGAAAGACUUGCAGAUAUUGUCAUGCUCAUCUUCGGAUUUAGCAACAAUGAAGUUUUGUGAGGAAAUCAAAGAACUCCCAAAUGCUUUCAACACCGACACCGUCCGUUCUUUAGACACCACUUUUCAUGGGUUUGCAAAAAAGGAUCGGCUCGGUUUUUCCCAGUAGGCAAGCUGGGAGGAGAGGGGCCGGCCUGCGUGGUGGGUUGAAGAUCUGCCCAGCAGGCUCUGCCCUGGGAGGGCGUUCCAGAGGUUAUGGAGCCGGAGAGCAGAACCAGCCCCUUCAAACGCACAGGUGGCUGGAGUGGAACAGUUCGCUCACUGUUAGUUCCCAAUUUUGAAUGUAUCUUUUUGUUUAAAAUGUCUUUAUCAGAUACCAAAUGUUACAGGAAUUGUAGGCGAAAUGAAUUAAAAGUAGAAACAAUA